rnacentral:misc_RNA from 1 species
GCGUCAUUGCAACCCUCAAGCACUGCUUGGUCGUGGGUCUCGUCCGCAGGGACGUGCCCGAAAGUUAGUGGCGGUCCAGCCGGGACUCCGGGCGUAGUAAACUAUUUCCCGCCCAGGGACGUUCCCGCGGUGGCCGGCCAGCCAACCCCAAAUUUUCAAUGGUUGACCUCGGAUCAGGUAGGGAUACCCGCUGAACUUAA